GAUGGCGUGCCUAUUGAAGAAUGAGCCAACGAGUUUUUGUGCUUUCUUUGUCUAAGUGCUUCCGGCACGAAGGCUAAGGGAAACCAAGUGUUAAUAGCGCGACUUGAGAAAGUGCAGAAGACCCGAAGCCAAGCGAGCUUACCAUGGCCAGGGUGAACUCUGACGAAAGUUGGAGGGAGGCCCGAACCCGUGAGCCGUGCAAUACUCUGGGAUGAGCUGUGGUAAGAAGUGAAAAGCUAAUCGAGCUUGGUAAUAGCUGGUUCUCCCCGAAAUAGCUUUAGGGCUAGCUUCAUUGAUUGUAUUACGGAGGUAGAGCACUGAAUGGGAUACCGUGGGAUUUUUCUCAGGUAUCUCAAUCAAACUCCGAAUGCCGUAAUAUUUAAAGGGGAGUUAGAACGCGAGGGCUAAGCUUCGUAUUCAAAGGGAAACAGCCCAGACCUUCAUCUAAGGUCCCUAAAUUUUUUCGAUUUAUCGAAACCUUGAUUUUCUUUUGAAAAUUGGGGAAGCUAAGUGUUUUUAAGAAGGUAAAAUUCCUCUGAUAGCUAGGAGGUUAGCUCAGAAGCAGCUAUCCUUUAAAAAGUGCGUAACAGCUUACUAGCUAAGGAAUUUUGCAUCAAAGAUUUCCGGGACUAAGCUUAAUACCGAAGAUAAGGAGCCAUUAUUUUAUAAUGGUUGGUAGGGGAGCGUUUCUAUUGCAUUGAAGCUCUUGCGGAAGCCAGAGUGGAGCGAUAGGAAGUGAAAAUGUUGGCAUGAGUAACCGCAAUUCCGGUGAGAGUCCGGAACACCGAAAGCCUAAGAUUUCCUUGGCAAUGACAAUCAGCCAAGGGUUAGGCGGGCCUAACUUUAUUUCCAAAUGGAGAUAAGGGAUGGACAGCCGGUUAAUAUUCCGGCCCCUCGGUUUCUUUUCGAAAAGUGACGCAGUUUUAAAGAUAAGGUGCAUUAUUGGAUUUGCAUUUGAGUUCUGCUUUCGGGCAGAGCAAACUUAUUAGAUAAACUGCCUAGAAAAGCUUUGAGAGUUAGGGAAACUGAGUCCGUAUUUAAAACCAACACAGGUAGGCUGGUACUAGUAUACUAAGGUGAACGGGUGAAACCUCGUUAAGGAACUCGGCAAAAAAGCGGGUGUACGUUCGCAAUAUACCCUGCCGCUCUUGGAGCGGCCGCAGCGAAAGAUUCCAAGUGACUGUUUAUCAAAAACACAGGUCCCUGCUAACUCGCAAGAGGAUGUAUAGGGGCUGAGACCUGACCAGUGCUGGAACGUUAACAGUGGCGGUAUCUGCCUUUUUGGUGGAUGCUAACUGCUCUAAGCUUCCAGUGAACGUCCGCGGUAACUAUAACCGUGUUAAAGUAGCGUAAUCCCUUGCCGUGUAAGUUACGGCCCGCAUGAAAGGUUUAACAACUUGGAAACUGUCUCAACGAGGAGCUCGGUGAAAAUGCAAUACCGGUAAAGAUGCCGGUUACCUACGGCUAGACGGAAAGACCCCGGGAGCUUUACUGUAGCUUCCUAUUGUCUUAUUGUUUUAAAUGCGUAGAAUAGUGAGGAGACUUUGAAUCCUAACUCUCGGGUUAGGAGGAGUCGCCAGUGAAAUACUCAUCUUUUGAAAUGAUAAGACUAAUCCCGCUUAUGCGGGAAACAGUGGGAGGUGGGCAGUUUAAGUGGGGCGCUUGCCUCCUAAAAGGUAACGGAGGCGUUUAAAGGUCAGCUAACUCCGGAUGGAAAUCGGAG
rnacentral:rRNA from 1 species